UAUUUCUCCCCCCCAAAAAACUCUACAUUCCCAUGCACACACACACACUAACGCAAUCCCCACCCAGACGUAAUACAUUAGUUUAAACUAAUUUAAACAGUCACAAAACCAAUAGAACAACGAAGUCAGCAUUCAUAUUUCUUUAUGACAUGUUCAUCAUCAACAUUCUUUCAUUGAGUAGCGAGGCUCACCAGGAAAUGUCAGCAUCUAACGAAAUCUUUCAUGCUGUGAGUUUCGACUCAUCGGCUGAGCCUCGUGCUUGGGUUUGGACAUAAUCCAUCUCCUCGGGACCACUCAAGAAGUUGUUCUCACCGUGCAACGCAGUUGUCUUGUCUUGGGUGCUAAUGAUGGAUCACUGACAGACCACCACCACAUAUAUACGAGCAGCUGCACCGUUAACCCUACCGCGUCCAUACAAACCUGGAAAUACAUUCCCCUUCAGCAAGGAGAGUGCAAAAAGUGAAUCAGUAAUACUGAGAUUGAGAUAGAGGUCUGCCAAACACCUACCUGCUCCCCUCAUCCAGCCAUCUACCCACUGAAUAUGAGCCUUUGGAAACUCAACUGACACCUGGACUUUAGCACGUAAACCACCUUCACUAACCCACACGUUGACUUCAAGGACCUCUGUACCAGGGGCUGCUGGAAUUCCAAUAACCCAUAUCCAUAACUAUACCUGGAUUCUCCACCAAGCCACAGACCCAAACAAGGGAGAACCAUCACCAUCACAGACUCACCCUGAACAGUGGCUUUGAGUGGAGUUGGCAACCAUUUUGUUUUCUGAUAAGAGAUAAGACCUGCAGAGUUGGCUUGGCACCAUGAUUGACCUGAGUUACCUGACGGAGGAGGAGCAGGAGAUGAUCCUGUCCGUAUUAAAGAGGGACACAGAUCUGAAGAGGGCCGAGGAACAGCGUGUGAAGAAUCUACAAAAGCAAGAAUGUGACAAGGGCCAGCUGAAGUACCUGACUGGAGAGUGGUUCUAUGAGACAAAGUCAAGGCGUCACAGAGACAGGAUCCAUGGUUCUGACAUCAUCAGAGCAUCCAUAAGUCGGAGGAAACCUGUGACCAUAUUGGAGCUUUCCCAGAUGUGGGCAGAGAGGCCCAGUUUCGUGAACAGUGAGAACCAGGAUGUGUAUGUUCCUCCAGAACUCUCGGGCCUUUUAGAGGAGCCACUGGCACAGCACAAGAACUACUACAGGGACGACAGCUACAAUCUGCCAGAAGUUUUGCAGUCCCCCACGAAGCAAAGACAGAACCCAUUCAACAGCACACCACUUCCACCUGAAACUUUGGAGGAAACAGACAGCCAGUUACCCAAUGAAGCAAUGGAGCAAACCAAGACACCUGACGGGGAGUUUCUACCACCAUCUGAGUUCUGCAUUGCUCAUCUAACUAACUUAAAAUCGAUCUGUUCCGAAAACAUCCAAAGUGCACCUCUGCGCAUGCCUGUCCCCAAAACAAGAACAAUCAUUAACAGAUCCCAGGACUCUCUCUUGGAGAGCCCAGCAACCAGACAGGCCAGCAGCCAGACAGGCCAGCAGCCAGACAGCCCAGCAGCCAGACAGGCCAGCUUUCCCGCCCCUAGGAGCAUCCUCAAACAAAGUAGCUCCACUGACUUUCUUCAGUUCCGAAACCUCUGCAGCUGCCAGCCAGAACCACAAUGUCCACAAACGCUGCACUGCAGUAACGGGGUCUUAGAGCCAUCUUUAGACACCUGGCCUGCUAAAGAGAGAGAGACCCUGGUCUGGAUAGACAGGAAACAGGUGAGAUUCGACCUAGCAGUGAGCAGGAGCAGCGUGGAGUGGCUCACUGAGAUGCAGGAUGGAAAGGAGCUGGGCGAACACAGUCUCCUGGAUUUGUACUGUACAAGCCACCCAGAGGGAGAGGAGGAGACGGGGCAGUCAGACAAAAGUGGCAUCAACAGUGGUAUUGACCAGGGUGAUCACAGACCACUAAAGGAAGACAUUGAGGUUUUGACAGCUGUAGGUUCACCUUGCUGGCUCCAACAGCCCAUUCAUGAUAUGCAGAGACAGGUGGACAUAGGUGAGGGUCUGAGUUGCAGAGAGAAGCCAGAUAUAAGAUGCCUAGACACAGGCCCAGCCCAGGUCCCUGCUGAUCAACUUGACCAUCGUCAUGCUGAGUCCCUUACCAUUCAGGUGUCCGACCUCCAUUGUGCUGUGCAAGAGACAGGUAAGCCCAUUCUCUUGGGGGCCGCGGCCCAGGGGAUCUCCCCCACCAAGAUAACAGAGGAGGACGGUCAAUCCAUGGCUAAGGUUCGCGACUGGUUCAGCUGGAACCUGGGAAGCUGUGACAAGCCACAGGUUCAGCUCCCACAACAACCCAGUGAUGAACCAGUGACUCCUGUCGACAUCAUCACAGAUGAGAUGCCAAGUGAUGCUGCCUCUAAGAAGCCAUCUAGUCGUGUGUCUCCAAAGCCUCGGCGAGGGCUCCUAGGGAUAUUUAGUAGAUGGGAAGCAAGAGAAGAGAAAAUCCCUGAGCCGCAAAGCCCAGUUAAAGAGGUGGUUCUCUGUGAACAGAAAGAGCUUGACGAUACCACCCUGAACUUCAUCUUCUGCCAGUCCACUGUGAAUACUUAUUCUGACCAGCAGCAAGAUCUGCAUAAAUGUGCUACUGACAAACAGUCAGCUAAAAAUGAGAAGACACCGGAGGUUAGAGAACUAGUGCUUAAAAAAGAAAUAGACCAAACUCAACAGGAGCCACAGGGGAGUGCAUGUGGAGUAGAUAUGUUACCAGAUAAACUCUCCAACUUGAAAUCAUUUUGGGAAAGAGAAAUUGGCCCUAAAAUACUGCUCAGUAAGCUAAGCAAUGAUACAAUGAGGUGUGAAGUACUUGUCAGUGCUGGGGAUACUUGUGACCAAAAAAUGCAUGAUUUUGGUACAGAUUUAGCCAAGGCUGAGACUGUUGACGCAUCACCAUCUUUUCAAAAUAUUCAGCUUCACCUCGACACUAGUGGCACGAGAAAGUCCAAUAUUUUUGGAGCAAAAAGCAAUGAUAGUAAUGACUCACAUAUGCUGAUUAACCAUCCCUUCUCCCAAAAGUGGAAACCUCAGAGCAGUGUAACAUAGACCUCAGUGCUGCUCUGUCAUAUGACGAAAAGUCCUCAUCUUCCGUUGAAAGUAACUACUUGUUAAAAACAUCAGGUGACAAUGGUACAUUCAGGGAUAAAUCCAUCCUCAUCUCUGAAGAUAAUUCCAGUUCAUCUGUGGGCUUGACAGUGCCUUCUCAGACAGUCCAGCCAGAUGAGAAGGUGGACAUUCCUUUACAUGUCUCUCCAUCCAGUCCCCGCACAAGCCGGCAGGGGCAUGUCCCAGUGCCCCUUGUUAGACGUUCCCUCAGUCAACAGGAAAGCAGGAAGGCCAAGAUCAAUAACCUCAAGUCCUUCUGGGAGAAGGAGAAUAGUGGACCAAGGGUCAUUGUUGGCAAACCAAAGGAGGCUUUAGGUAGUCAAACCCAUCCGUUUUCAGAAACACCUCCAGUCCACCACUCAAUUGCCACUUCUCAGUCUAGUCUAAGAACAAUUGAAACUGACCUAGGGAAGGGUGACUGUGACAAGCAAAGCUCUUCCUUAUACGGGGUUAAGGCCAGCGCCUCCGACUUGUCCAUGGCUGAAAGAAUAGAAAAGGGUUUCAUCAAGUGGAGUUCAAACUCAUCACUACCGAGUAGUCACUGUAGUGUUGGCGAUGUUGAUUCUAUAAAUCAGCAAGAUUCAUGUAAGAUGGAAACAGGGUCAACCCUGAAUCAAGAAAGACCCUUAAGUCCUAAAACACCUCUGCCUAGAUCUGAAAUUCCAAAGUGGAAAGACAAAACUGACGAUGAACUUAAGAGAAGUCCUUCAAAGACCUGUCAUCCAAAAGCCCUGCCCAGAGGUUCAUCCAGUUUCCAAGGAGCCAGCCGUGAUAGUUCUCCAUUUAAAUCCUUCUCCAUAGACAUUGCCUCACCCACAAGGGAGCAUCAGGAUGAUCCAGAGAGAGCAACACCAGUGGUUAAACAGAGAAAAGGACUCUCACAUGAAGCAAUGCAGUCAGGAUCAGAGUCCACCAAACAUACCCUAGGAAUCACGUCUACCUCUCCACAGUUUAGAUCUGAAGAGAAGGGGCAGGAUCACCUGACCUUUCCACGUAGAGGCUCGGCACAGAGCUCACUAACUUCUAUGAUGUCCCCGCUAUCACCUACAAGGUCGCACCCUUGCCCCUUCAGAAGGACCAGUUUAGGGAACCUAAGUGUACAGGAGGGCAGUCCUCACUGGUCCUCUAGGCCAAAUCAUGGGGACCCGCAUAUAAGAAGAGCCUUUGAAGCUGGCAAGAUUGGUCAACAGCCCAUCAAUAGGGAUCCUGGUGAAAGAAAGCUUUCGGGAGCAUCUGAAGUCUCUGAAACAUAUCUCCGCCUUGCAAGAUCUUUCAUUCCCCAGAGCAACCAACAUUAUUUGGGGCUCCCUGAGCAGACACACAUCCCUCAGUUUAUCUCAGAUAAAGUGGGGAAUGACCAUCUGAGUCCCACUGUCCCCACUCCAUUGCUCCUGAGCAUAAGAAGCAGUGAGGGGAGUCCAUCUUGGAUCAGUCCUAGGUCCAUGGAGAAUGUCGACAGUCGCUUAUCCAGACGAAGCAUGCCUGAGAUCUGGUCUCAAUCUCGGGCAAGUUCAAGCUGUCAUGGUGAGAACUCAAGCCCUAUCAGGUUAGAGUUUAAACAAAUGUCUUCAAGACCCUUAUCCAGAAGUCUGGAGGACGUUUUAUCACCACCAAAAC